UACGUAUGGUGCAAGCGUUAUCCGGAAUGACUGGGUGUAAAGGGAGCGUAGACGGUUGUUCAAGUCUGAUGUGAAAGCCCUCGGCUUAACUGGGGGAGUGCAUUGGAAACUGAAGGACUAGAGUAUCGGAGAGGCAAGUGGAAUUCCUAGUGUAGCGGUGAAAUGCGUAGAUAUUAGGAGGAACACCAGUGGCGAAGGCGGCUUGCUGGACGAAAACUGACGUUGAGGCUCGAAAGCGUGGGGAGCAAACAGG
rnacentral:rRNA from 1 species